rnacentral:rRNA from 1 species
UACGUAGGGACCGAGCGUUGUCCGGAAUCAUUGGGCGUAAAGAGCGUGUAGGCGGCCCCUUAAGUCCUGCGUGAAAUCCUGCGGCUCAACCGCAGACGGUCGUGGGAAACUGGAGGGCUAGAGUGCGGGAGAGGAGAGUGGAAUUCCCGGUGUAGCGGUGAAAUGCGCAGAUAUCGGGAAGAACACCCGUGGCGAAGGCGGCUCUCUGGAACGACACUGACGCUGAGGCGCGAAAGCUAGGGGAGCAAACGGG